GUUGAGGUCUAUCCCGAUGGGGCUUUGCUGUAGGCCUGUAUCGUUGGAAACGCCUCAUAGAGUAACAUGUGGUUGCUUUGCUCACAGGGCUAUUUGUCAGAUCUGUGGGGAAGAACUACAAGACAGUU